GGGCACGUAGCUCAGCUUGGAUAGAGCGUCGGACUUCUAAUCCGACGGUCAUGGGUUCGAAUCCCAUCGUGCCCG
rnacentral:tRNA from 1 species